UAAAAACGCUUAUUCUGCUAACACUUCAGCACCGUCCCGCACCACUCAACCGAACCGCAUCAGAAACCCACACCCACCACCACUUCCCACCUUAUCCUACCUUCUUCCCCUGGUCAACCCGUCGCCGGCCAGUGCCCGCAGCCCUGCACCACCCCAACCCACCUCCCGCACGACCACGACCCCAAUCCCUCCACCUCCUUUCGUCGCGCCAUCUCCCUCUACCACGCUGCACCACCACCUCCGUCCACCAUGCCGCUGCGCCACCUCCCUCCACGGUGCCGCACCACCACCUCCCUCCCCCGCGCUGCCGCCCCACCUCCAUCCACCUCGUCGCACCACCACCUCCCUCCCCCGCAUCUUUGCCGCACCUUCCUCCGACUGCACCACCAUGGAGUGCGCCGACAGUCGAUCUGCCACGACCGGCCCUCCCCAGGCCACCACCGCGCCGCCCCUGCCAAGGCCGCCGCCGCGGCCCUGCCGCGAGCAUCAUGGGCGUCGAUCACCUUCUGCGCUGUGGUGGACGGAUCCACGGCCCCCCUCCCGCCAUGGCUGCCUCCUCGCAGUGCCCCCAUCCCGCGCAAUGGUGGCUACUUCUCCCACAGCAAACCGACUGCCGCUUGAUGGAUCCCUCCGGAUCUGGCCGCCACGGGCCACAGGGGCGGCCAUCACCACCGGAUCCGGUGGAGCCGUAGGCUGGCCUCCCUCGACCUCCCUAUACGGCGUGAGCAUACGGGCACCCCGUCCCCAUGGCGGCAGCCUCAAAUGCGUGGAGUGGUUGGUGUGGCGCAUCCCAGCUAGAUCGACGAAGUCGUCCCGCAGGUCAGGGCCGACCUCACCCCCCUCUGCCUGGGCGCAUCGCUUUGCAGCCUUCCCUGUUGUCCGACGGCCACAGCCGUGCAGUCCGGCGACCGGAGCCAUGUAGGCCGUGAAGUUGAGCUCAACGCUCCUUGACUUCCUGCUCAGUUCGUCACGACCCGCGUGACCUCCCAAUGCCAUGACCAGCUGCACCGGCCCACCCUCUUGCUCCUGCCUCACCCGCUCGCGCCGCUGGGGCUCUUUACUGCACUGCAUUGACUUACUGACGAGGAGUGGAGGAUUGAAGGUGCUCUCCUUCCAUGGUGCAUCCCCGCGGGGAUGAGAUUUGCCGUGUGCACCUGCAGUCUACUGUCUUUGUUGCUUUUUUUUAAGAAAAAGGUCAAAAGUGCAGAGUAGUCCGCUAAUGUUUGCUCUUGAGGUUCAUUUUACUCUUUUUUUGCAGAAAGGAUAAAUGAUGUAGAAAAGAUGACCGACAGGUAUGAAGGAGGUCCAUUGGGGCCGAGGUUCUGGCGAUAGCAGCUUGCUGUCUGGGCAAGCAUGACACGCAGCUCGUAGGCGUGCGUGUGUGUCGUUCGGUGUCUUGUCGUCCUUCCUCUGGCGAGAUCCUGCAUCCCCCUCGAGCACCUCUCUUCUGCAAAAUCGAGUAGCCAAUCUCCUGUAGUUUUGUGGGUGCAUCACUGCUACAUGCAUGCAUCCUGUUUCAUGCUCCUCUCCACCCUCCCUAGAGGGCAUGCAGCUUGUCGGGUGCCGGCAUGUGCUUGCAGGUCCUACCAUCCUAGCAACCGAUGGGUCACCCCUUUUCAGCGAGCACUGCGUGCAGUGCGGGCGAGUGUGACAUGCAGUGCGGGUGAUUGUGCCGUGCAGCUCGCCGGGCGUCUGGGCGACGAACCUCACUUGCAGCUCUCUCCUCCAUCUCCUUGUUGUUCGUGGGAAGAAGGGGACAAGCGCACUGCACUAGGGGUGGUCGGUGUCAUACUUUUUUUAAGUAGUUCAUCUUGUUAUGUCAUUUUUUAGUAGUCAUCUUGCUGUAUGUUUCAGUUUGACCAUGUUAAUGCAUGCAGCUCUUUGUUGGUGUGGGUGCAGCUCACAUGCAUUUGUGGAGUUCAACGGCGCACAGGCCUGCGCGUGCGGUCCCAAAGGAUGAAGUGAUGCAGUUCUAUUGGAUGCCCUGUUACUCAAUUUUGUUGUUGUUGAAAAGUGCACUGCAUUAGUUCAUUAUAAAAAUUGCAGUUCCUUA